GGAGUCGGCCAGACAGUCGCUUCGCCGCCUUGGCGGUGGGGAGGAAAGUCCGGGCUCCAUAGGGCAGAGUGCCAGGUAACCCCUGGGGGGCGUGAGCCUACGGAAAGUGCAACAGAGAGCAUACCGCCUACGUCCGCUCACGCGGGCCGGUAAGGGUGAAAUGGUGCGGUAAGAGCGCACCGCGUCGGUGGCAACAUUCGGCGGCAAGGUAAACCCCACUCGGAGCAAGGCCAAAUAGGGGAGCAAUGGUGCGGCCCGCACCGUUCCCGGGUAGGCUGCUUGAGGCAUGCGGUGACGUAUGUCCCAGAUGAAUGACUGUUCUCGACAGAACCCGGCUUAUCGGCCGACUCCUUCU
rfam:Thiotrichales bacterium SG8_50 WOR_8-12_21007, whole genome shotgun sequence.